AUCCCAACACACAUGGCGCGUCACUAUAUCAUAACUAAAUUAAAAAAAUAAAAAAUAAAAAUACAAUUACAAUUAAUAUACUUUUAAUAAGUAAAUAAAAAUAAAAAAUAUAAUGGGUAAUAAAUGGCUUACAAAUCAAUUAUUAAAAAGCAAUUGCACUAAAAAAGACAAUUAGUCUCGUACAUCUAAGAGACAGCCAUUAACUUUAUUCCAUUAAAAAAAACCCUAGAUUUAUAUUUUUCACUUUCAUCUCUCUCAUUUUAGUUCUUCUCAGGCCACACAUCUAAGAGACAUGCCAACCAAGGGAACGUCGGCGAGAUUGACGUUCAAGAUCAUCUCAGAGUUCGCUCACGGCAAGGGAACGUUGACGCUUUCCAAGGAUCUCUAGGUCGACUACGGCGGAGAGAUCAACCCAUGCGAUGGAUGGGUCUUCGGCGAUCGACGUCUUCAACGAAGACGGAAGCUCAGAUCUUCACCUCGAAAUUAUUCAGAUCUGCUAUGUGCCUUCUUUCUUUCUCUCUCUCUCUCUCUCUCUCUCUCUCUCUCUCUCUCUCUCUCUCUCUCUCUUGUUGAAUCUGCUAUGUCCGUUCUUUCUACUCAGACGAUGGAGGAUUUGUAUGGAUUCAGGCUAAAAAAUGGUCGGUUCCAGAGUUGCAGCUAGAUAGGGACGAAGAUCAACACUAUCAAUGGAACUAAGUUAUUUAUUUUUUAUUUUUUUAUCAAAUUCUCAUACCCAUAAUUCUGGGUUUACAUUGUUCUUGUAUUUUCUUUAAAACAAUUAUGUAUUCUUUUUGAAAUAUUUUAAUGUAAUUUGUUUUAGGUUUUAUA